CAAGUCGGACGCGAAAGGGGGCUUCGGCCCCCGAGUAGAGUGGCGCACGGGUGAGUAACACGUGGGUAAUCUGCCUUUGGGUGGGGAAUAACACUUCGAAAGGGGUGCUAAUACCGCAUAACGCAGCGGCACCGCAUGGUGGCAGUUGUUAAAGUGGGGGAUCUUCGGACCUCACGCCUAAAGAGGAGCCCGCGCCCGAUUAGCUAGUUGGUGAGGUAACGGCUCACCAAGGCGACGAUCGGUAGCCGGCCUGAGAGGGCGGUCGGCCACACUGGCACUGAGAUACGGGCCAGACUCCUACGGGAGGCAGCAGUGGGGAAUUUUGGGCAAUGGGCGAAAGCCUGACCCAGCAACGCCGCGUGAAGGACGAAAUCCCUUCGGGAUGUAAACUUCAAAAGUUGGGGAAGAAAUGCCGGGGGCCAACACCCUCCGGAAAUGACGGUACCCAACGUAAGCCCCGGCUAACUACGUGCCAGCAGCCGCGGUAAUACGUAGGGGGCAAGCGUUGUUCGGAAUUACUGGGCGUAAAGGGCGCGUAGGCGGCACGGCAAGUCAGGAGUGAAAGCCCGGGGCUCAACCCCGGAACUGCUUUUGAAACUGCCGAGCUAGAGUGCGGAAGGGGCAACUGGAAUUCCCAGUGUAGCGGUGAAAUGCGUAGAUAUUGGGAAGAACACCUGAGGCGAAGGCGGGUUGCUGGGCCGACACUGACGCUGAUGCGCGAAAGCCAGGGGAGCGAACGGGAUUAGAUACCCCGGUAGUCCUGGCCCUAAACGAUGGAUACUUGGUGUGUGGGGGUUUUCUC
rnacentral:rRNA from 1 species